rnacentral:rRNA from 1 species
AUCAUUGGGUGUAAAGGGUGGCGUAGGCUGGUGUCUAAGUCUGGGUGAAAUUUGCCGCUUAACGGUAACAUGGCUUGGAUACUGGAUGCCUUGAAUCUGACAGAGGUCGGUGGAAUUCGUAGUGUAGCGGUGAAAUGCAUAGAUAUUACGAAGAACACCAGUGGCGAAGGCGGCCGGCUGGGUCAGUAUUGACGCUGAGGCACGAGAGCGUGGGGAGCGAACAGGAUUAGAUACCCUGGUAGUCCACGCUGUAAACGAUGUAUGCUAGUUGUUGGGCCUUUGGGUUCAGUGACGCAGUUAACGCAGUAAGCAUACCACCUGGGGAGUACGUUCGCAAGAAUGAAACUCAAAGGAAUUGACGGGGGCCCGCACAAGCGGUGGAGCAUGUGGCUUAAUUCGAUGCAACGCGAAGAACCUUACCCGGGCUAAAUCCUGAUUUGAUACCCCGAAACGGGUAGUUCUCUUCGGAGCGGUCAGGAAGGUGCUGCAUGGCUGUCGUCAGCUCGUGCCGUGAGGUGUUGCCUUAAGUGGCGCAACGAGCGCAACCCCUAUGGUUAGUUACCAGCACGUAAAGGUGGGGACUCUAGCCAGACUGCCUACGCAAGUAGUGAGGAAGGUGGGGACGACGUCAAGUCAUCAUGGCCCUUAUGUCCGGGGCUGCACACGUGCUACAAUGGACGGUACAGAGGGAAGCCACCCAGCGAUGGGGCGCAGAUCUCGAAAGCCGUUCCCAGUUCGGAUUGGAGUCUGCAACUCGACUCCAUGAAGGUGGAAUCGCUAGUAAUCGCGUAUCAGCAACGACGCGGUGAAUACGUUCCCGGGCCUUGUACACACCGCCCGUCAAGCGAUGGAAGUCAGGAGUACCUGAUGUCGCCGUGCCAACCCUUCGGGGAAGCAGGUGCCUAGGGUAAGCUUGGUAACUGGCGCUAAGUCGUAACAAGGUAGCCGUA